CCAGGUCGGGUAUAGUGUACUGGUUGGAAGGGCAGAGCUGGACCAACUCACCGCAGGGCUCGGUGACCUGUCAGUGUUCGCUGUUAACGUUACGUCGUAACCAGCCGGUACCUCAGUACUAUGCUUGGAACAGCGCCUACAAUUUCUAGGACCACCGAUAACAAAGCUGCCCGUCGAUUUGCCUGGAUAAAAUGUUAAUGUUCACAACGUUAAUGAUAGCAAUUCUCUGAUGUAUAUUGAAUACGUUUAGAUUAUUGUAUGAUGCAUUAUUUAUUUGAUACAAUAUGACAGUUUAUUUUUUAUAUUAAAUAGGAGUUAUAUUUGAAAUCUCUACAGGCAUAUAUUUGAUAACCGCAUAAACUCUGGCCUAUUUCUUUGUGUUUUUGAAUCAACCUAAAGGGAAAAACGAUGUAUCGUAAUGCUUAAAUGACUAAAUUAAAUUGAAUUAAAUCUUUAAAUCAA